UGUUCUGUGGCUUAGUUGGAUAAACCGCCGGUCUAGCCAAUACGGAAUCGUGGGUUAGAAUCCCACCUGAACGU
rfam:Aedes albopictus isolate Foshan contig33329, whole genome shotgun sequence.